UCCGGGUACAGUGGCACGUACCUGUAGUCUCAGCUAUUACAGAGGCUGAGGUGGGAGGAUCACUUGAGCCCAGGAGUUCUGGGCUGUAGUGCACUAUGCCAAUCCGGUGUCUGCACUAAGUUUGGCAUCAGUAUGGUGACCUUCUGAGAGCAGGAGACCACCAGGUUGCCUAAAAAGGGGUGAACCAUCCCAGGUCAGAAACAGGAGGUCAAAACUCCUGUGCUGAUCAAUGUGGGAUCUCACCUGUGAAUAGCCACUGCACUCCACCCCGGACAACAUAGCAAAACCCCGUCUCU
rnacentral:SRP_RNA from 1 species